rnacentral:rRNA from 1 species
AGAGGGUGCAAGCGUUAAUCGGAAUUACUGGGCGUAAAGGGCGCGUAGGUGGCUAGCCAAGUCAGAUGUGAAAUCCCCGGGCUUAACCUGGGAACUGCAUCUGAAACUGGUUAGCUAGAGUACAGUAGAGGGAAGUGGAAUUUCAGGUGUAGCGGUGAAAUGCGUAGAUAUCUGAAGGAACACCAGUGGCGAAGGCGACUUCCUGGACUGAUACUGACACUGAGGCGCGAAAGCGUGGGGGGGAGCAAACAGGAUUAGAUACCCUGGUAGUCCACGCCGUAAACGAUGAGAACUAGCUGUUGGGGGGAGAUUACCCUCUUAGUGGCGAAGCUAACGCAAUAAGUUCUCCGCCUGGGAGUACGACCGCAAGGUUA